CUCCUACGGGAGGCAGCAGUGGGGAAUAUUGGGCAAUGGGCGCAGAGCUUAACCCAGCAACGCCGCGUGAGGGAAGAAGGUUUUCGGAUUGUAAACCUCUGUCGCAGGGGACGAAGGAAGUGACGGUACCGUGUAAGAAAGCCCCGGCUAACUACGUGCCAGCAGCCGCGGUAAUACGUAGGGGGCGAGCGUUGUCCGGAAUUACUGGGCGUAAAGGGAGCGUAGGCGGUCGAUUAAGUUAGAUGUGAAACCCCCGGGCUUAACUUGGGGACUGCAUCUGAUACUGGUUGACUUAGAGUACAGGAGAGGGAAGCGGAAUUCCCUAGUGUAGCGGGUGAAAUGCGUAGAUAUUAGGAGGAACACCAGUGGCGAAGGCGGCUUUCUGGACUGACACUGACGCUGAGGCUCGAAAGCGUGGGGAGCAAACAGGAUUAGAUACCCUGGUAGUCCACGCUGUAAACGAUGAAUACUAGGUGUAGGGGGUAUCAACUCCCUCUGUGCCGCAGCAAACGCAAUAAGUAUUCCGCCUGGGGAGUACGGCCGCAAGGUUGAAACUCAAAGGAAUUGACGGGGGCCCGCACAAGCGGAGGAACAUGUGGUUUAAUUCGAUGAUACGCGAGGAACCUUACCCGGGCUUAAAUUGCAACCGAAUAUGGCGGAAACGCUAUAGCUAGCAAUAGCGGUUGUGAAGGUGCUGCAUGGUUGUCGUCAGCUCGUGCCGUGAGGUGUCGGCUUAAGUGCCAUAACGAGCGCAACCCUUGCCGAUAGUUACUAACAGGUCAUGCUGAGGACUCUGUCGGGACUGCCAUCGUAAGAUGUGAGGAAGGUGGGGAUGACGUCAAAUCAGCACGGCCCUUACGUCCGGGGCUACACACGUGUUACAAUGCCGGGUACAGAGGGCUGCUACCACGCAAGUGGAUGCCAAUCCCAAAAACCUCUCUCAGUUCGGAUUGAAGUCUGCAACCCGACUUCAUGAAGCUGGAUUCGCUAGUAAUCGCGCAUCAGCCACGGCGCGGUGAAUACGUUCCCGGGCCUUGUACACACCGC
rnacentral:rRNA from 1 species